GCCCGGGUAGCUUCGUUGGUAAAGCGUUCGUCUAGCAUACAAGAGUCCUGGGUUCGAAUCCCAGCCGAGCA
rnacentral:tRNA from 1 species